GACGAACCGUGCGAACGUUAUUCGGAAUCACUGGGCUUAAAGCGCGUGUAGGCGGGACGGCACGUCGGUCGCUGAAAUCCCCCGGCUUAACCGGGGAACUGGCGUCGAUACGACCGCCCUGGAGGGGCGUAGGGGGACCUGGAACUUCCGGUGGAGCGGUGAAAUGCGUUGAGAUCGGGAGGAACAUCUGUGGCGAAGGCGACUGCCUGGACCAGCACUGACACUGAGGCACGAAAGCGUGGGGAGCAAACAGG
rnacentral:rRNA from 1 species